GCCCCGGGCUGGGUGUCUGUAGCACGUUCUCAGGGUGUUUGAUCUGAGACUGCCAACUCCAUUUUGGGUGGCCAAGCUGUGACCCGCUGCUGCCCCACAACCCACAGGGGCACGGAACCACGAGCUCUGGGAGAAGCAGGGCAGAUUGGUCCUCUCUGUGUUUUUGAUCCUUGGGAGUCGCCACGGCUCGGUCUGGUAUUUCAAGUAUUGAGUGAUUUAUAUGUACACCCUGUGCAUCCAGAGGGACUCGGUGAUCCUUCCUCGCCUCUGAAGUGGAGGUGAUGAAAGGCGCUGCCAGAUCAGUCAAGAAACGGUGGGCAUCUUGAGGGUGGCAUUUUAAGGGCAUGGUGUGUAUUCUAUCUCUUGCCUCCCACCAGAUGGGCAGGCUUCCAAGUGAAAGGUGUUCCCUGCCUUUUGUAGCAGAGCAGUACCUCAAACGGGAAUUUUCAGCCCCUUCGGACCCGUGAAGUGUGUUCCAGGAACUCCUUGCCCUGCGUUCUGCAAAUACCCGGGGCUUGAGAGAUUCCUUGUGGGGUGCUAACCAGUGACAGAAAGCACCAUUUGGUCAGAAACAGGCACCUUAGAUGAAGUGGUCCAGAUUCCAUAGCCGCUUUAAUUUGGGCCUGGAACUGCCACCCUUCUUGCGUCUAUCAAUGUAUCGGCGGAUCUAAGCCUCUAGCAGGUACAUGACUCUUUGGGGCCCAGACUAAAACUCCAUCUUAAUGAACACUCAGUAGCUGGCAGGCUUGACUUUCAUCAAAGGAAGAGCUCUUUGGUUAUCACCUCUGAAAGUUCCUGUUACGCUCUGUAUGUAAUUGCUCAGUAUCAGAGUUACUGAAGGAUGGUCGAUAAGCACAGCCUUCCCUUUCCAGACUUGUUUUUGAGAGAGGGGGUGGGGGUCGGUGGGGGGGGAGGGCUGAGCUGUCAGCAGAGAGCCUGAUGCAGGGCUUGAACUCGUGAACCACGAGAUGGUGACCUGAGCCGAAGUCGGACAUUUAACCAACUGAGCCACCCAGGUGCCCCAAGACUCGUUUUCUAAUGAGGAGGCUUUAAAUAGGUUGCAAAAUGACUUAUUAAAGCAGUGCAGAGACGCUCAGAUGUUGAAUGAAAGUUCAGAAGGGAACAGCUGUCACUUUUGUAUCUGGUGGGUGUGAAGGGGCUUUGGAAGAGCAAAACUCCAAAAGAAGAAGGACGUGGCACAGAAGGGGUAAGUGAGCGUGGCAGGAAGAACCGUCGGGGCUGAGACCUGUGCGGCCUCCAUUUUCCACCCCUUUGGGAGAACCACACAUCCUCUCUGCACCUCACUGACUUCAGAUAAUACCCAAGAGGGUUCUGUUAGAGGUUUUGAUCUCCAGCUCAGCUGGUCUCUGCUUCUAAACGUGACUGAGCCUGAAAUGGUGGCCCUUACAGCAACAUAGCUUUUUCUUUCAGGCCCCGAAUCUGCUGUUCAUUUCCUGAAUACAGGUGCACACUGCCGGGGGGUGGUGUAGGUAAUGGUUAAACACAUGCCCUCGGGAAGUCAGACUGCCUGGAUUCAAAUCCUGCCUCUUCCACUGUGUGAUUUACUGUGUUGAUCUCGCGCAGGUCAUAUAAGCUCUCUGUGCCUGUGCAACGUGAGGAGGUCGGUACCUACCUCCUGUGUUUCGGUGCACAGUUGUGAACCUAUACGUGCAGGGCCCUUGUAACAGGUCUGGCAUUUAGUAAGCAGCUGACCCUGAUUAGUAUUAAUAAAUUGUUUAUCUCCACAGAGGUCCUACUGGAUUUGAGUUUCCUAUGCAAAAGCAUUUGCUUUGUUUAUUUUUUCGUUGGUAGAUUAUGGAUUUAUGAGACUCACAUUCUGUCAGGGGAACGCUGGCGUGUGUUCCCACACUCUAGAGUGAGCUGCUAGGGGACAGCAGAUUCUGAUUCGGCAGGGCUGGGGAGGGGCCUGAAUGUCUGUUCUUCCAACAGGAUGCUAAGGCUUCUGGGCCAUAAGUGGCAACCGUUUUAAAGGAUACUUUGAUGAGAAUACGGUUAACAGAGAAUCAGAAACAUAAAUACAGAGUGGCGUCGCGACUUGGAAGAAAGCUUUCCACCAGAGGGGCAGGGGCGUAGUGUUUUCUCAGUGCUGCCUUAAGGUCUCUGACCUGAUGAUACGAAAGAAAAACAAACACUCAUAAGGACGCGGGUGUAGAUCCUCGCUGAUUGUUGAACACCAUCCGGGCUGCAGGGCAGCACAGUUUGUAGACGAUAAUUGCUAAAAGAUCGAGACAGACAUUCCUUAGCAUGCGGGCAGAUUAAUAGGAAUUUGAUGUUACAAGGACCGCUUUGAUAUCGCUACGUAUUUGUUCUCUGUGCACUUGCCUGAAACUUCCCUCACUGAAGUUGCUGGAAUCACGGACUGUCCCGUCCUCUUUAGAACUUAAAUUUAAAUAAUCAGAAGUACAUUUGCUUCCUAAGCUGAAGAUCUGUUUACUUUGCAGCUUUCAAAGGGUACAGUGUCCUUUUCUGAAUAUUUGAUUGGAAGCCCAGAAUCCACAUUGGUAUCUCUGCCUCACUGACUUGUGGCUGAGAGAGCUGUCCCUCACGGACAGGAGCGUCCGCAUCUGAAAUAGCUCCAGAAGGCCUCUGCUGGCCACAGAAAGUUGAAAUGCAAAGCCAGGCCUGCUACAGAAGUUAAUGAAAGGCAAUGAGCAUUCAAUAAGAGUAUGAGCUAAACCCACAGAAGAGUAGCUGAGAGGGAAUGGUGUCGUCCCCCUGGACACCAAGCCAGAGAAAGGCCCCAGGCCCACCCCGUGCAAGCUGGAAUGCUGUGUUCCUAUGCCGGCAGAGCGCUCCCUGGCCAGCCUGUGUUUACACUGUUGCUGGACCUCCUCUGUGUUUUAGAUCCAAGAGUUGGAAGAGGGGCAGGAAGAAUGCAGACAUCCCAGAACUGGCAGGGACUGAAGGAUCCCAAAAGUUGUCUUCAGGUUAAGGACUGCAUAUGGAUAGGCUUUGAGGGGAAAGAACGGUCUUUUCCUCAAGCAAGAGAAUGUAUCUGAAGCCCACAGAGACCCUAUACCUUGCUCAACUUGACCCCUUCCCUGUAGACGUCAAAUAGGAAUAUCCGGCCAAUCUUCAAAGAAGUCUCUAAGGCACUUCUUGUCCUGCCCAGUCAUUACUGUCAUUUAUGGGAACGAAAUAGCAUUUACGUGUAAUUAACAGAGCACAGUAAUCAUUUCUGUUAAGCAUCACGUUAACUGUACUGUGAUUUUUUUUUUUUUUUUUGGCUUGGUCACAGCUUUGAACUGUUUAAAUAAUUCUGAAUUUUAAUAGUUUGCUGAUACAUGCAUUCUUUUUGCUCACAACUUAAUAAAACUAGAUGGAAGUUUCUCUUCAGUGGUACAGCAGGCAUUUGAAAGAACUAGAAGAGAAAAACACUCUGAGCUCCCUAGAGAGCAGCCUUACAGAAACCUCUGACUUCUGGACUUGAGUGGUCCUAAAAGUGAGAACCACUCCAAGACCCACUCUCCUCCCCCCAACAAAAAGUCUUUGGUGGGGAAGGAACAGGCCUUGAGGAUGCCUUGCAAUAAAUAGGCCGAUGCAACACCUUGGAGGAGGAAGAUGUGGGAGAGGAUAUGGCUAGCUAGGAGCCUUUUCUGAGUGUGUAUUGUGUUCCAGACGCUGCGCUGUGUGCUUUACAUUCAAGAUGAUAUCUGGGGCGCCGGGGUGGCUCAGUUAAGUGUCUGACUUGUGCUCAGGUCAAGAUCUCAUGGUGUGUGAGUUCAAGUCCCGUGUCGGGCUCUGGGCUGACAGCUCAGAGCCUGGAGCCUGCUUCCAAUUCUGUGUCUCCCUCUCUCUCUGCCCCUCUUCCGGUAGCCCUUUCUCUCUCCCUCUCCCCCCCCCUCAAAAAUGAAUAAACAUUAAAAAAAAGUUUUUUAAAGAA